CCUCUUCCUUCAUCAUGGACUACGUAGCACAGAUUCACUUAGCCUCCAUGCUUACAUCCAUACUCUUUAUAUACAAUUUCUUUCAUUUUUAAGAUCAAAAUAACACUAAUAAUGACUUGCUCUUACAUUGUGCUUCUCAUCAGAAGAUUUCAAAGUGCUUUACAAAGGAGUCCUUACUGGAUCCGCAGAGAUGGGGCUCCAAGUCUCUGUUGCCUCCGUUUCAUCAUUGUACUUUCUGAUACACUGUUUCUUCUCAGAAGAGGAGGUUUAAAGCCAGAAAGGAGAACCCGCUGUUAUCACUCCAGUGCAGAGUACAGAACAAUCAAUGUAACACAGAGCUCUUCAAAUAUCCCCAGUGUCACCACAGACUUCGUGAAUUCAGUAACAGUCCAGAUUAAUCAGCCAGCUAAUGUCAAAAUCUAAUUAUUUUUAAAGAAGUCUUCCACAAGUCUAUUUCUAGCAUCCAUAAACAGGAAAUGAAGACCAACAGUAUGCAGCAAUAGUACUGAGAAGCCAAAGAUACAAACUAAACAAUCUGAUCCGUCAUACAGACAGCAAUGUACUACUGACAUCACUCACACUUAAGAGCACAGCAAAUCAGUGGCAAACUUUUUCUGGGCUUUAGACAGCAGUGACACGUUCACUCUCAGUGAAUCACAAGAAAAAUGCAGAACCACAGAGAGAGAUGGCAUACAAGAAAAAACUCUGGCAGAAAUCUCAGAUACCAGCUCGAAAAUUCAUCCUGUGAUAGGAAUACAGUCAUUGCUCCCACCAAGAGCCCCUAGGAAAGUCAUGAGCAGUGUAAGAACAGCUGUUCUUUACUGGGGAGGAAACAUGCGAACUAUCCCAUUUUUGGAAAUCAAACCAUGUAAGAAUCUACAGAACUUCCAUCUUAAAACAUUCAUAAUAGGUUAAUUUGUUAAACUAUCAAUUUUACUGCACAAGUUAAACAUAUCAGGAACAAAUACAUAAUGAGGUUAUGUUCUAGCUUAGCUAUUUCUUCUUCCCUUCUUUAUGAACUUCAAAACUACAAGGACAAAUUGGCAAUAGAACAAACUGUCAAAGGAUAUUGAGGACACUAGAAAAAUCCAAGGCUACACUAUGAUAAUCAUCUUUUGUAGCACUCAAGAGGUUCCCUUGCAUCCCUUAAAUCUCUGAGUCUUGCAUUUUAGUUUUUGAAUGGUAAUUUCUAUCAUUAGCUCAAAUCAAACUCAUGCUGUUUGCAUGGUUGUCACAAACUACUGGCUGUCUUUCCUGAAAUCCAUCAUCUGCCGAAAGUUAGCUUUCCAAACUAACAUUCCACAUGAACAUCUUGUCCAGAUUUUAAUUAAAACACUGUGUCUAAGAGA